GCUAUAGAUCUGUGGUUAGUUGGUAACAGCAUGAAACUCUUCAUCUCAAGGUCAUGGGUUUGAGCCCCACGAUGGGCA